rnacentral:rRNA from 1 species
GGGUUGUGAGGUUAAGCGACUAAGCGUACACGGUGGAUGCCCUGGCAGUCAGAGGCGAUGAAGGACGUGCUAAUCUGCGAAAAGCGCCGGCGAGGUGAUAUGAACCCUUGACCCGGCGAUGUCCGAAUGGGGAAACCCAGUGCAAUUCGUUGCACUAUCGUUAGCUGAAUACAUAGGCUAACGAGGCGAACCGGGGGAACUGAAACAUCUAAGUACCCCGAGGAAAAGAAAUCAACCGAGAUUCCCCCAGUAGCGGCGAGCGAACGGGGAGCAGCCCGGAGUCUGAAUCAGCUUGUGUGUUAGUGGAACGGUCUGGAAAGUCCGACGGUACAGGGUGAUAGUCCCGUACACGAAAGCACACAUGCUGUGAACUCGAAGAGUAGGGCGGGACACGUGGUAUCCUGUCUGAAUAUGGGGGGACCAUCCUCCAAGGCUAAAUACUCCUGACUGACCGAUAGUGAACCAGUACCGUGAGGGAAAGGCGAAAAGAACCCCGGCGAGGGGAGUGAAAAAGAACCUGAAACCGUGUACGUACAAGCAGUGGGAGCCUCUUUAUGGGGUGACUGCGUACCUUUUGUAUAAUGGGUCAGCGACUUAUAUUCUGUAGCAAGGUUAACCGUAUAGGGGAGCCGAAGGGAAACCGAGUCUUAACUGGGCGUUAAGUUGCAGGGUAUAGACCCGAAACCCGGUGAUCUAGCCAUGGGCAGGUUGAAGGUUGGGUAACACUAACUGGAGGACCGAACCGACUAAUGUUGAAAAAUUAGCGGAUGACCUGUGGCUGGGGGUGAAAGGCCAAUCAAACCGGGAGAUAGCUGGUUCUCCCCGAAAGCUAUUUAGGUAGCGCCUCGUGAACUCAUCUUCGGGGGUAGAGCACUGUUUCGGCUAGGGGGCCAUCCCGGCUUACCAACCCGAUGCAAACUACGAAUACCGAAGAAUGUUAUCACGGGAGACACACGGCGGGUGCUAACGUCCGUCGUGAAGAGGGAAACAACCCAGACCGCCAGCUAAGGUCCCAAAGUCAUGGUUAAGUGGGAAACGAUGUGGGAAGGCACAGACAGCCAGGAUGUUGGCUUAGAAGCAGCCAUCAUUUAAAGAAAGCGUAAUAGCUCACUGGUCGAGUCGGCCUGCGCGGAAGAUGUAACGGGGCUAAACCAUGCACCGAAGCUGCGGCAGCGACACUAUGUGUUGUUGGGUAGGGGAGCGUUCUGUAAGCCGUUGAAGGUGUGCUGUGAGGCAUGCUGGAGGUAUCAGAAGUGCGAAUGCUGACAUAAGUAACGAUAAAGCGGGUGAAAAGCCCGCUCGCCGGAAGACCAAGGGUUCCUGUCCAACGUUAAUCGGGGCAGGGUGAGUCGACCCCUAAGGCGAGGCCGAAAGGCGUAGUCGAUGGGAAACAGGUUAAUAUUCCUGUACUUGGUGUUACUGCGAAGGGGGGACGGAGAAGGCUAUGUUAGCCGGGCGACGGUUGUCCCGGUUUAAGCAUGUAGGCGGAGGUUCCAGGUAAAUCCGGUACCUUUUAACGCUGAGGUGUGAUGACGAGGCACUACGGUGCUGAAGUAACAAAUGCCCUGCUUCCAGGAAAAGCCUCUAAGCAUCAGGUAACACGAAAUCGUACCCCAAACCGACACAGGUGGUCAGGUAGAGAAUACCAAGGCGCUUGAGAGAACUCGGGUGAAGGAACUAGGCAAAAUGGUGCCGUAACUUCGGGAGAAGGCACGCUGAUAUGUAGGUGAAGCCCCUGCGGGUGGAGCUGAAAUCAGUCGAAGAUACCAGCUGGCUGCAACUGUUUAUUAAAAACACAGCACUGUGCAAACACGAAAGUGGACGUAUACGGUGUGACGCCUGCCCGGUGCCGGAAGGUUAAUUGAUGGGGUUAGCGGCAACGCGAAGCUCUUGAUCGAAGCCCCGGUAAACGGCGGCCGUAACUAUAACGGUCCUAAGGUAGCGAAAUUCCUUGUCGGGUAAGUUCCGACCUGCACGAAUGGCGUAAUGAUGGCCAGGCUGUCUCCACCCGAGACUCAGUGAAAUUGAACUCGCUGUGAAGAUGCAGUGUACCCGCGGCAAGACGGAAAGACCCCGUGAACCUUUACUAUAGCUUGACACUGAACACUGGUCCUUGAUGUGUAGGAUAGGUGGGAGGCUUUGAAGCGUGGACGCCAGUCUGCGUGGAGCCAACCUUGAAAUACCACCCUUUAAUGGCUGGUGUUCUAACGUAGACCCGUAAUCCGGGUUGCGGACAGUGUCUGGUGGGUAGUUUGACUGGGGCGGUCUCCUCCCAAAGAGUAACGGAGGAGCACGAAGGUUGGCUAAUCCUGGUCGGACAUCAGGAGGUUAGUGCAAUGGCAUAAGCCAGCUUGACUGCGAGCGUGACGGCGCGAGCAGGUGCGAAAGCAGGUCAUAGUGAUCCGGUGGUUCUGAAUGGAAGGGCCAUCGCUCAACGGAUAAAAGGUACUCCGGGGAUAACAGGCUGAUACCGCCCAAGAGUUCAUAUCGACGGCGGUGUUUGGCACCUCGAUGUCGGCUCAUCACAUCCUGGGGCUGAAGUAGGUCCCAAGGGUAUGGCUGUUCGCCAUUUAAAGUGGUACGCGAGCUGGGUUUAGAACGUCGUGAGACAGUUCGGUCCCUAUCUGCCGUGGGCGCUGGAGAAUUGAGGGGGGCUGCUCCUAGUACGAGAGGACCGGAGUGGACGCAUCACUGGUGUUCGGGUUGUCAUGCCAAUGGCACUGCCCGGUAGCUAAAUGCGGAAGAGAUAAGUGCUGAAAGCAUCUAAGCACGAAACUUGCCCCGAGAUGAGUUCUCCCUGAGACUUUAAGUCUCCUGAAGGAACGUUGAAGACGACGACGUUGAUAGGUCGGGUGUGUAAGCGCAGCGAUGCGUUGAGCUAACCGAUACUAAUGAACCGUGAGGCUUAACCUUACAACGCCGAAG